rnacentral:rRNA from 1 species
UAAGGAAUAUUGGUCAAUGGACGCAAGUCUGAACCAGCCAUGCCGCGUGCAGGAAGACGGCCCUACGGGUUGUAAACUGCUUUUGUACCGGAAUAAACUUUGAUACGUGUAUCAAGCUGAAUGUACGGUAAGAAUAAGGAUCGGCUAACUCCGUGCCAGCAGCCGCGGUAAUACGGAGGAUCCAAGCGUUAUCCGGAUUUAUUGGGUUUAAAGGGUGCGUAGGUGGCCUAUUAAGUCAGGGGUGGAAGACGGUAGCUUAACUAUCGCAGUGCCUUUGAUACUGAUGGGCUUGAAUACACUUGAGGUAGGCGGAAUGUGACAAGUAGCGGUGAAAUGCAUAGAUAUGUCACAGAACACCAAUUGCGAAGGCAGCUUACUAAAGUGUUAUUGACACUGAGGCGCGAAAGCGUGGGGAUCAAACAGG